rnacentral:lncRNA from 7 species
CAAAGACGAGUGACCACGACGUCGCGUAAUCCCACGGCGACCCGAGAUGCCGACGAGAAAUUUCAGCUAGUGCCCGCUGGGACCUUGCUCUGAGAUGCCGCACGCGGAUACCCCCGUGACGUCAAAGCUUCAACGCCGUUCCUCACGACCAGAGUGCCAACACAAGCUGGUUGUUCCCCCGGCAGCACUCGGCGGCCCAAGCACCCACUCCAUCAAUUUACGGUGAACCCACAGAGCGACCAAGGCAAGUCUCAGUGGGAUUUAUAGGGGCCCAGAGUCCAAGCCGAACUCGAAUUUGCCGGUGUGAUUUCCGGUGAUCUUGGCCUGGUUCGUUGCAACAGACCCGCACGGCGCGCGAGGAGUUCGGGAGGAAGAGGUCCGGCCACGUGAGGAAGAUGGAGACGGUCCGACAGAUGGGCCCCACGCAGCAGUGGAACCACCGCGAUUC